AGGUGCGAUCAUACCAGCACUAAUGCACCGGAUCCCAUCAGAACUCCGCAGUUAACCGUGCUUUGGCGAUUGGAGUACUAGGAUGGGUGACCCCCUGGGAAGUCCUCGUGUUGCACCCC